AUUGAACGCUGGCGGCAGGCCUAACACAUGCAAGUCGAACGAGUGGCGGACGGGUGAGUAAUGUCUGGGAAACUGCCUGAUGGAGGGGGAUAACUACUGGAAACGGUAGCUAAUAACGCAUACCCUAGGAUGAGCCCAGAUGGGAUUAGCUAGUAGGUGGGGUAACGGCGCACCUAGGCGACGAUCACUCGCUGGUCUGAGAGGAUGACCGCCCACGCUGGAACUGAGACAAGGUCCAGACUCCUACGGGAGGCAGCAGUGGGGAAGAUUGCACAAUGGGCGCAAGCCUGAUGCAGCCAUGCCGCGUGUAUGAAGAAGGCCUUCGGGUUGUAAAGUACUUUCAGCGGGGAGGCGUUACCCGCAGAAGAAGCACCGGCUAACUCCGUGCCAGCAGCCGCGGUAAUUC
rnacentral:rRNA from 1 species